ACUCAUGACAACGACACUAUUCGAGGUUGGUGGGACACUCUGGACAAAGAAGGGAAGUCUAAGGCAAUGAAAUACCUGUCGAUAGCU